GACGGGGGGUCCAAGCGUUGUUCGGAAUCAUUGGGCGUAAAGCGUGUGCAGGUGGUUUGGUAAGUUGGAUGUGAAAGCCCUGGGCUUAACCCAGGAAGUGCAUUCAAAACUACCAAACUUGAGUAUGGAAGAGGGUCGUGGAAUUCCAGGUGUAGUGGUGAAAUACGUAGAUAUCUGGAGGAACACCGGUGGCGAAGGCGGCUCUCUGGACCGAUACUGACGCUGAGGCGCGAAAGCGUGGGGAGCAAAACAGG
rnacentral:rRNA from 1 species